UGUUCUUCUGAGAAGCAGCCCAGUUUCGGCGAAAUUUGACAACGCUGUAGGAGGACGAUCCACCGGAGCUUCCCGGCCGAAAAGAAAAAAAAAUAAGAGGCAGCAGAUACUAUAGGGGAACGACAGACAUUAAACCACCCCGCAGCCUCAAACAGCUGCCUCCCUUCAAAAGCAGGGAACAAGGUCACUGGCGUCCAGGCCCUGCUCCCCAUCCACUUCAAAGGGAAACACUCCACUUUUCCUGUGGCAACCCUGUGAAAAACAGCAGGAAACGGCGGCUAGCAGGCAGGCCGGGACCUUCAAUCAGCCCAGGGUCAAGACGGGAACACCCAAGGAGGAACACAAUAUGGAUGCAGAAACCUUUUUCCAGGUCUCCGAGUGACUGAGAGUUUGUUUAGCAUCAAGCCCUGGACUGAACCCCAAUGGAAUUAAAAACAGACCACUGGUGGGCGUGGUCCUGCUCCUGAUGAUUGCCGUUCAUUGUCACAGUGGCACCCAGGUG